AUGGGUUGCGUUCCUCAAUAUGCGUCAGGAGAUCUGAGACCCACAGAUGCAUCAAGAACUACAACACGAUCUGAUGGAGCACCUAUGAAGGCUCAAGGACAACACCUAGUUCGAUGUGUUUUUAGUUUGUGUUUGAAUUAUGAGUUUGCUUGGUUGAACUAUUUGAUUUGUAUCCAUUUCUGUGAUGAACUAUGUGAUAAAAAUUACCUUUUGUUGAGUAUGUGCCGAACUAUGCCGAAUUUGGGCCGAAAUCGGCGGUUGGGGGGGGGGAGGGGCGAACUUGGGGGGUUGGCUGGGAACCCGAGCCCCCCCCCCCCACCGAAUUUAUCGCCGGUUAGCCCCCAAGCGACGCUAUUUUAA
rnacentral:rRNA from 1 species